CCUACGGGAGGCAGCAGUGAGGAAUAUUGGUCAAUGGGCGCGAGCCUGAACCAGCCAAGUAGCGUGAAGGAUGACUGCCCUACGGGUUGUAAACUUCUUUUAUAAAGGAAUAAAGUGAGGCACGUGUGCCUUUUUGUAUGUACUUUAUGAAUAAUGAUCGGCUAACUCCGUGCAAGCAGCCGCGGUAAUACGGAGGCUCCAAGCGUUAUCCGGAUUUAUUGGGUUUAAAGGAAGCGUAGAUGGGUUGUUAAGUCAGUUGGGAAAGUGUGGGGCUCAACCGUAAAAUUGCAAUUGAUACUGGCAGUCUUGAGUACAGGUGAGGUAGGCGGAAUUCGUGGUGUAGCGGUGAAAUGCUUAGAUAUCACGAAGAACUCCGAUUGCGAAGGCAGCUUACUAAACUGCCACUGACAUUGAUGCUCGAAAGUGUGGGUAUCAAACAGGAUUAGAUACCCCUGUAGUC
rnacentral:rRNA from 1 species